rnacentral:rRNA from 1 species
CUACAGAGGGUGCGAGCGUUAAGCGGAAUUACUGGGCGUAAAGCGCGCGUAGGCGGCUUAUUAAGUCAGAUGUGAAAUCCCCGGGCUCAACCUGGGAACUGCAUCUGAUACUGGUAAGCUAGAGUUUGGGAGAGGGAAGUAGAAUUUCAGGUGUAGCGGUGAAAUGCAUAGAGAUCUGAAGGAAUACCAGUGGCGAAGGCGACUUCCUGGCCUAAAACUGACGCUGAGGUGCGAAAGCGUGGGUAGCAAACGGGAUUAGAAACCCCUGUAGUCC